rnacentral:rRNA from 1 species
GAUGAACGCUGGCGGCGUGCUUAACACAUGCAAGUCGAACGGUGAAGCAGGAGCUUGCUCUUGUGGAUCAGUGGCGAACGGGUGAGUAACACGUGAGCAACCUGCCCCUGACUCUGGGAUAAGCGCUGGAAACGGCGUCUAAUACUGGAUAUGUGAUGUGACCGCAUGGUCUGCAUCUGGAAAGAAUUUCGGUUGGGGAUGGGCUCGCGGCCUAUCAGCUUGUUGGUGAGGUAAUGGCUCACCAAGGCGUCGACGGGUAGCCGGCCUGAGAGGGUGACCGGCCACACUGGGGAUGAGACACGGGCCAGACUCCUUCGGGAGGCAGGAGUGGGGAAGAGUUCACAAUGGGCGGAAGGCUGAUGCAGCAAAGCCGCGUGAGGGAUGACGGGCUUCGGGUUGGAAACCUCUUUUAGCAGGGAAGAAGCGAAAGUGACGGUACCUGCAGAAAAAGCACCGGCUAACUACGUGCCAGCAGCCGCGGUAA